rnacentral:rRNA from 1 species
UUAACCUACGGGGCGCAGCAGUAGGGAAUCUUCCACAAUGGGCGAAAGCCUGAUGGAGCAACGCCGCGUGGGUGAAGAAGGUCUUCGGAUCGUAAAACCCUGUUGUUAGAGAAGAAAGUGCGUGAGAGUAACUGUUCACGUUUCGACGGUAUCUAGCCAGAAAGCCACGGCUAACUACGUGCCAGCAGCCGCGGUAAUACGUAGGUGGCAAGCGUUAUCCGGAUUUAUUGGGCGGAAAGGGAACGCAGGCGGUCUUUUAAGUCUGAUGGGAAAGCCUUUGGCUUUACCGGAGGAG